rnacentral:rRNA from 1 species
UACAGAGGGUGCGAGCGUUUAAUCGGAAUUACUGGGCGUAAAGCGUGCGUAGGUGGUGAGUUAAGUCUGUCGUGAAAGCCCCCGGGCUCAACCUGGGAACUGCAUCCGAGACUGCAUUGCUAGAGUAUGGGAGAGGAAAGCGGAAUUUCUGGUGUAGCAGUGAAAUGCGUAGAUAUCAGAAGGAACAUCAGUGGCGAAGGCGGCUUUCUGGACCAAUACUGACGAUCAGGUGCGAAAGCGUGGGGGAGCAAACAGG